UACGUAGGGAGCAAGCGUUGUCCGGAUUUAUUGGGCGUAAAGCGUGCGUAGGCGGUUUGUUAAGUCUGUUGUGAAAUCCCCGGGCUCAACCUGGGAAUGGCAAUGGAUACUGGCAGGCUAGAGUGUGUCAGAGGAUGGUGGAAUUCCCGGUGUAGCGGUGAAAUGCGUAGAGAUCGGGAGGAACAUCAGUGGCGAAGGCGGCCAUCUGGGACAACACUGACGCUGAAGCACGAAAGCGUGGGGAGCAAACAGG
rnacentral:rRNA from 1 species